UACGUAGGGGGCAAGCGUUGUCCGGAGUCAUUGGGCGUAAAGCGCGUGUAGGCGGCCAUAUAAGUCCGCUGUGAAAACUCGAGGCUCAACUUCGAGCUGGCGGUGGAAACUUUCUGGCUAGAGUCCGGAAGAGGAGAAUGGAAUUCCUGGUGUAGCGGUGAAAUGCGCAGAUAUCAGGAAGAACACCCGUGGCGAAGGCGGUUCUCUGGGACGGUACUGACGCUGAGACGCGAAAGCGUGGGGAGCGAACAGG
rnacentral:rRNA from 1 species